AUGAUCAAAAUAACUUGGGAAGGUAGCCUUGGACUUGAGCUUGUCCUGUUUAAGUGUCGUUGGUUUGAUCCAACUCCCACUGGAGUUAAGCGGACUGAAAACUUGGGAUUGGUAGAGAUAAAUCACACAUCCAGGCUCUCUAGUUUUGAUCCAUUUGUGAUGGCCUCUCAAGUUACUCAAGUAUAUUAUUUGGAAUACCCGUGCAAUUCUAGACCAGAUCUACAAGAAUGGUCAGUUGUAUACCGGGUUUCUCCAUUGGGCUACAUUCCUCCAAGUGAAACUGACAACCAUUCUGAAGGAUCAUCACAUGAUGUCUUAUUUUAUCAAGAGGAUGGGUGUCGGUGUCAAAACCGGCGGAUCUCGGGUAGGUGGUCCCGAACUGUGCGUCUAGGCCAGAUGGUAACAGGAGGCAAGGAACACGAUGUUUUACCCAGGUUCGGGCCCUCUUGA
rnacentral:rRNA from 1 species